AUUUUCAGAUGAAUGGCAGCUUUUAAAUACCACCUUUCUCAUCAUAAUUGAAUGCUCAGUUCACACCUUGUUGUCACACAAUUACUAGAACCUUCCUCCGUUGCUGGGCAGCACCCUUUCUGAACUGCAGUUGCGGGUGAACAGCAGGGCCCUAGAGCAGCCCGCCCCCUGCUGAACCUCGACGGACUGGGCCCGAGCCCGCUCUGACAGGCCACCUCCUCUACGUCAGCCAACUACUGCGGAUGCCAAUCACAUCGACAGAGUGUCUUCACAGCGGCGCCCGGACGAGUGUCCAACCUGGGCAACGCGGCCCGGCCACACUGGCACGCAGAAUUAACCGUCACCGCUGGUCACGGGUGAGGCCCAUUUUCAAGACAGUUCACGUCUUGUGACUCCACAUCCGUUCUGCCUUGCCUGGGUUCCUCACAGGCUGAGAACAGCUGGUUCUUGCUGAAAGAAAUCACACGCGGGCCCAGGGAGCAGCCACGGUGGGUUCGAGCGUGCCAUACUCCGCGCUUGCGUUGACAGCUGCUCGUGUGACAGGGAGCCGUGGACUAGAGUGGGUGUUUCCAGUCUUGCAGAAGAGACAGUAAUGCAAAUAAAUACCCAUGGCAAGUAUUAUUGGUGUUGGAAAACGAGGAAAACAACUUCAAGAAUUUUACAUUAUAUAUUUGUUUACAUAUAUAAAAGAUUUGUAUGUCCAUGUCAAUGGACUUGGUUUUGUAUUGAAAGUCUAUUUUUUUUUUUUUUUUGAAAGCCUACGAUAGAAAGAAGAAACGGGCCGUUAGGGACUGAAUCAUGCCUCUCUCCUUUCUCCCACUCCCAGCCCAAUUUAUACGUCGAAGCCCUAAUACUCAGUACCUAAGAGGGUGCCUGUGUUUGGAGUCAGGGCCUUUAAAGCAGUAAGGUAAACUGAGGUUGUUGAGGUAGGCCUUAUCCAGUCUGAAUGGCAUCCUUGAAAGAAGGGGAGAUUCGGACACAGAAUCACGGACUGAGGGAGGACCAGGUGAGGACACAGCGAGGAGGUGGCCACCUGCAAGCCCAGGAGAGAGGCCCUGGGAGAAACCGAACCUGCCCACACCCUGAUCUUGGACUUCCGGCCUCCAGGAUUGUGAGAAAAUGAACAUCUGCUGUUCGAGCUGCCCGGGCUGUGGUCGUUGGCUGCGGCAGCCCCAGGAGCUAACACGUGGGCUCCUGUGGGUCUCCUCCCUGGGUGCUGGCCUCCUUUCCACACUCGUGUGCCACGGAAACGAGGACACCCAAGGGGUCACCUGUCCUCCACCUUUCAUCUUACAAAGGAAAAAGCUGGAAAAGUGAAUGCCAGCUAGAGUUGUUCAAGGCUGUCUGUCUGGAAUCACCGCCACCCUCCAGAAAGUACUUCGCAUUUUUUUCAUCGUCACCAGCCCUGCUCCAGAGGUUGCUGUAGUGGCUCAGGGUGUGGGUCCAUGUUAUGACAUACUGGAUUGGAGUCAUUGUCCCAUCGCCUGCUACCUGAAACACCUUGUGAGAGCCACUUUGGUUUCUGUGCCUUGGUUUCCCCCUCUGAGAAACCAGGAUAACAAUGAUAACUGUGUCGUAGGACAUUGUGAGGGGCUGGCAGGACGAUAUAGACACAGGGGCUACAACCACGCCUGGCAUACUAAGUGUUCCUAACUUUGAGGAGAUGAAGCCAGCCUGAGACGACUUUUUCCCUACUUCAUUGCACAGCUGAGCAAAGAGUUUCUUUGCUAGAAAACUGGUUGCCUUCGAUGCACAUUUCUUUAACUAGUUAGGGGGCAACAGCUCCCAGGGCAGAAACUGUAUUCAGAGAAAGUGUCUCAGCAGAGAAGAGAGUGCCACCGGCCGAGUAUGGCGUGUGGGUGAAGCUGGUGGGGCACAGACACACGAUGGCAGGAUGCGCUUCCCACCGAGGGGUGGGCUUUCUGGCUCUCCUGCUGAGAUCCAGAUGUGGUGACUGCUUGACCAUUACAACGUGGUGGAAAUGAUGGUGUGCCACUCUCUGGGCCCAGGCCUUAAGAAACGGGUGGCUUCCAUUUCCUGUUGGGAUGCUUGCUCUUAAAGCCCAGCCGCCAUGUGGUGAGGAAGCCCAAUGGCCCAUGGAGAGGCCCACGAGGAGAGGAGCCUCAGCCUCAGCCUCAACAACAACCCUGGCUGUGUCUUUAGUACACAGCCAGCGCCACCAACCUGCCAGGUACUCGGCUGGGCCAUAUUACAAAUGGAUUGUUGUUGUUCUAAACCACUAAGUUUUGAGGUGGUUUUUACACAGCAAUAAAUAACCGAUACAGGAAUGACACUGAGUCUGGAAGGCUCAAAAGCUUUUCGGAGGCCAAGUUCUCAAGCUAACAUUCUAUAGCAGAAGCCAGGAAUUUAGCUCAGUUUCACUUAAGACAAGACUGA